UUCUAUGGCGGGCCGUGGUGGGGAUACCUUCGGGUAUGCCGGUUUCCUUAUCGCCGGUUCGCCAACCUCGCCAUGCGCCUGCCACCCUC
rnacentral:antisense_RNA from 1 species